CCCACCUCCCUAUAUUCUUCCUUCUAAUUUUCUUCGGCCGUCUUCUUCUUUCUCCAUCUCUUCUUCUGUUAUGUGGUUGCCCAUGAGAAGAAGCAUGGAUCACGUGAAGAGACAUCAUUGUGUCGCGGGAUAGGAUCUGGUCUAAGCUAUGGCAGGACGGUAGUCGCCCGGGGGGAGGAAAAUGAGGACACCGACCAGCCUCAAAUCACUCUGUGCACUGCAUGGAUUGUCUCUGAUUAAGCCUUACAACUUUCUGUACAUAAGCUCAUGCUUGCGCCGGAUCCAUGUUGGGAAGGGGGCCGAUAUGUCGGCAAACAUCGAGCGUCGCCUUCCAACCAUUCGUGGAUUCAUUAGAAAGAUGCGUUACUUUAUUUUACUUUUUGUUUAAUUUGGAUAAAAUGGUUUUGUGCCAUUGAUCUGUUUUUUUUUCUUUUCCCUUCUUUUGAUGGAAGGUUUUGUGCCGCUGUAGCCUGUAGAUUGAGUGUCCCGCCACCUUGUUUCCAAAGUCAGGGCUGGCCAGCCCUGGCCCUGGUUAGCCAACAAAUCCAUAAAGGCCAUACAUCUCCUUGGAUAGGCGGACAGAUAGACAAACAAAGAAAGUAACGUUGCAUCUGUUUCUAUAAAGACAUCAAAAGAUAACUCUUCGAACAUAAAUUCUAACCAUGCAGCCAGCAACUUCACACUCUGAUGAAGACCUGCAUCCAAUCUUGUUGUAUUGCAGGACCGACCGGCACAAAAAAGCCUAUCAAGAACACCGAUAUGCCAUCCCUUUAUUUAUCUGAGCUGGUAUGUUGUACAUUUUUUACAUUUUUGCAUGUAAUCUUCUUAUUUCUCUAUCUAAGAGAGCAUAUUAUUGGAACUAAUUAAUAGAAGCGAAUUUAUCAAACGAAAAGAAACAUGAUAUAUGGAUGAAGACAAGUCUGGCGAAGGGCCAAAGUUUACCUAUCCGGCCCUUACAAAUUUCGAAUACGCUUAGACUCGGACAAAUUAAACCCAUACAUAUCGACCAGAUAAUGAAGUUGUCAAUUGAUUGAAACAGUACGCGCUUGUUUCCAAUUAAGCUCGAAUCUAGCUCACUUUGACCGUAACCAGACCAAAUAUCAAUCUGGUUCAUAGGUUCGAUAUUAAUUUCAAAUCGAGCUGGAAACAACCAGGGCUGAUAUAUAUCACGUAGUGAACCUCAAUAUAUAAGACCCAAAAGAGGUG